CCCCCCCCCCCCCCCCCACACACACACACACAAACAAAGAGGCGUUAGGCUGAGACGCUGAAAGUCCGGAUUUAAAGUGCAGAAAAUUAAGCCAUUGAAUCUGCCUGUCCAUGACGUACAAAGACACACUAUGAGCCAGUAUGAUCCGACCAGACCUUACAUCAGCAUUGAGGAGUUGUCGGAGAAGAAAGAGGCUGAUUGAAGCGGGACAGAUGACAUGAAUCCAUCCUUCCACAGCCAGGAGCGCACCGACCUGUGUCCCACACUUCAUAUAAGACUGGAAGCUACACUGGAUCUCACAGCUACACACCACAGACGUCUACACACUGGAGAAGAUUCAGACAGAGUCCCACAAAGAAGUUAUGACCCAGAGGUUGCAGAGAAACAUUUCAAGCCUCAUCUGAGUUUUUGUACAAUAUUUUUGCUGUAUGUAAAUAAAGCUUUCACUCAACAUA